AGCGGCGGAUGGGUGAGUAACACGUGGGGAACCUGCCCCUAAGUCUGGGAUACCAUUUGGAAACAGGUGCUAAUACCGGAUAAUAAAGCAGAUCGCAUGAUCAGCUUUUGAAAGGCGGCGUAAGCUGUCGCUAAGGGAUGGCCCCGCGGUGCAUUAGCUAGUUGGUAAGGUAACGGCUUACCAAGGCGACGAUGCAUAGCCGAGUUGAGAGACUGAUCGGCCACAUUGGGACUGAGACACGGCCCAAACUCCUACGGGAGGCAGCAGUAGGGAAUCUUCCACAAUGGACGCAAGUCUGAUGGAGCAACGCCGCGUGAGUGAAGAAGGUUUUCUGAUCGUAAAGCUCUGUUAUUGGUGAAGAAGGAUAGAGGUAGUAACUGGCCUUUAUUUGACGGUAAUCAACCAGAAAGUCACGGCUAACUACGUGCCUGCAGCCGCGGUAAUACGUAGGUGGCAAGCGUUGUCCGGAUUUAUUGGGCGUAAAGCGAGCGCAGGCGGAAAAAUAAGUCUAAUGUGAAAGCCCUCGGCUUAACCGAGGAACUGCAUCGGAAACUGUUUUUCUUGAGUGCAGAAGAGGAGAGUGGAACUCCAUGUGUAGCGGUGGAAUGCGUAGAUAUAUGGAAGAACACCAGUGGCGAAGGCGGCUCUCUGGUCUGCAACUGACGCUGAGGCUCGAAAGUAUGGGUAGCGAACAGGAUUAGAUACCCUGGUAGUCCAUGCCGUAAACGAUGAGUGCUAAGUGU
rnacentral:rRNA from 1 species